rnacentral:misc_RNA from 1 species
GGAAGUAAAAGUCGUACAAGGUCUCCGUAGGUGAACCUGCGGAGGGAUCAUUACAGAGUUCAUGCCCUACCGGGUAGAUCUCCCACCCUAUGUUAUUAUUACUUUGUUGCUUUGGCGGGCCGUUAGGCUCCGGCCCGACUACCGGCCCCGGCUGGUAAGCGCCCGCCAGAGGACCCAAAACCCUGAAUAUUAGUGUCGUCUGAGUACAAUAUAAUAGUUAAAACUUUCAACAACGGAUCUCUUGGUUCUG